rnacentral:rRNA from 1 species
GAUGAACGCUGGCGGCGUGCCUAAUACAUGCAAGUCGAGCGAACAGACGAGGAGCUUGCUCCUCUGACGUUAGCGGCGGACGGGUGCGUAACACGUGGAUAAACUACCUAUAAGACUGGGAUAACUUCGGGAAACCGGAGCUAAUACCGGAUAAUAUAUUGAACCGCAUGGUUCAAUAGUGAAAGACGGUUUUGCUGUCACUUAUAGAUGGAUCCGCGCCGCAUUAGCUAGUUGGUAAGGUAACGGCUUACCAAGGCAACGAUGCGUAGCCGACCUGAGAGGGUGAUCGGCCACACUGGAACUGAGACACGGUCCAGACUCCUACGGGAGGCAGCAGUAGGGAAUCUUCCGCAAUGGGCGAAAGCCUGACGGAGCAACGCCGCGUGAGUGAUGAAGGUCUUCGGAUCGUAAAACUCUGUUAUUAGGGAAGAACAAAUGUGUAAGUAACUAUGCACGUCUUGACGGUACCUAAUCAGAAAGCCACGGCUAACUACGUG